rnacentral:rRNA from 11 species
UGAAGUGAAACAUCUCAGUAAGCGGAGGAAAAGAAAGAGAAUCGAUUCCGUAAGUAGCGGCGAGCGAAAGCGGAUCAGCCCAAACCUGGAGGAUUUAUCCUCUGGGGGUUGUAGGGCCAGGUCGUGGAGAAACUAUUGAUAGCAAAAGGCUCUGGAAAGUGCCGCCAUAGAAGGUGACAGCCCUGUAUGCGAAAUCAAUAGCCAUCCUACUGGUACCCUGAGUAGCACCGGACACGUGAAACCCGGUGUGAAUCUGCGCAGACCAUUGCGUAAGGCUAAAUACUCGACGAUGACCGAUAGUGAACUAGUACCGUGAGGGAAAGGUGAAAAGCACCCCGACGAGGGGAGUGAAACAGUUCCUGAAACCGGAUGCUUACAAACAGUGGGAGCUCAAGGUUCGUCCUGAGUGACCGCGUACCUUUUGUAUAAUGGGUCAGCGACUUAAAGUAACGAGCAAGCUUAAGCCGGUAGGUGUAGGCACAGCGAAAGCGAGUCUGAACAGGGCGUUCAGUUGCAUGUAUUAGACCCGAAACCGAGUGAUCUAGCCAUGAGCAGGUUGAAGGUGCGGUAACAC